AGCAGCCGCGGUAAUUCCAGCUCCAAUAGCGUAUAUUAAAGUUGUUGCAGUUAAAAAGCUCGUAGUUGAAUUUCGGGAUUAGUAAGUUGGUCGUGCCUCCGGUAUGUACUGGCUCUACUGGUUCCUCCUUCUUGAAGAACUGUAAUGUCAUUAAUUUGGUGUUGCAGGGAAACAGGACUGUUACUUUGAAAAAAUUAGAGUGUUUAAAGCAGGCUAACGCUUGAAUACAUUAGCAUGGAAUAAUGAAAUAGGACGUUUGAUCCUAUUUUGUUGGUUUCUAGGAUUGACGUAAUGAUUAAUAGGGAUAGUUGGGGGCAUUAGUAUUCAAUUGUCAGAGGUGAAAUUCUUGGAUUUAUUGAAGACUAACUACUGCGAAAGCAUUUGCCAAGGAUGUUUUCAUUAAUCAAGAACGAAAGUUAGGGGAUCGAAGACGAUCAGAUACCGUCGUAGUCUUAACCAUAAACUAUGCCGACUAGGGAUCGGAUGAUGUUAAUUUUUUAAUGACUCAUUCGGCGCCCUA
rnacentral:rRNA from 1 species